rnacentral:rRNA from 1 species
UACGUAGGAGACGAGCGUUGUCCGGAGUUACUGGGCGUAAAGGGUGCGCAGGUGGCGGCGCGCGUGGGGGGGUGAAAUCGCCCGGCUUAACUGGGCGGGGGCCUUCCAGACGGCGUGGCUUGAGCAGCGGAGGGGGGGACGUGGAAUUCCGGGUGGAGCGGUGAAAUGCGUAGAGAUCCGGAGGAACACCGACGGCGCAGGCAGCGUCCUGCCGCUUGCUGACACUGAGGCACGAAAGCUGGGGGAGCAAACAGG